GCCCCCUUAGUAUACCCACCAGUACAAGUGACUUCCAAUCAUUUAGCCUUAGCACCCUAAGAGGGGGUA
rnacentral:tRNA from 1 species